rnacentral:rRNA from 1 species
UUAAGCGACUAAGCGUACACGGUGGAUGCCCUGGCAGUCAGAGGCGAUGAAGGACGUGCUAAUCUGCGAUAAGCGUCGGUAAGGUGAUAUGAACCGUUAUAACCGGCGAUUCCCGAAUGGGGAAACCCAGUGUGAUUCGUCACACUAUCAUUAACUGAAUCCAUAGGUUAAUGAGGCGAACCGGGGGAACUGAAACAUCUAAGUACCCCGAGGAAAAGAAAUCAACCGAGAUUCCCCCAGUAGCGGCGAGCGAACGGGGAGGAGCCCAGAGCCUGAAUCAGUGUGUGUGUUAGUGGAAGCGUCUGGAGAGGCGCGCGAUACAGGGUGACAGCCCCGUACACAAAAAUGCACAUGCUGUGAGCUCGAUGAGUAGGGCGGGACACGUGGUAUCCUGUCUGAAUAUGGGGGGACCAUCCUCCAAGGCUAAAUACUCCUGACUGACCGAUAGUGAACCAGUACCGUGAGGGAAAGGCGAAAAGAACCCCGGCGAGGGGAGUGAAAAAGAACCUGAAACCGUGUACGUACAAGCAGUGGGAGCACAGAGCAAUCUGUGUGACUGCGUACCUUUUGUAUAAUGGGUCAGCGACUUAUAUUCUGUAGCAAGGUUAACCGAAUAGGGGAGCCGAAGGGAAACCGAGUCUUAACCGGGCGUUAAGUUGCAGGGUAUAGACCCGAAACCCGGUGAUCUAGCCAUGGGCAGGUUGAAGGUUGGGUAACACUAACUGGAGGACCGAACCGACUAAUGUUGAAAAUUAGCGGAUGACUUGUGGCUGGGGUGAAAGGCCAAUCAAACCGGGAGAUAGCUGGUUCUCCCCGAAAGCUAUUUAGGUAGCGCCUCGUGAAUUCAUCUCCGGGGGUAGAGCACUGUUUCGGCAAGGGGGUCAUCCCGACUUACCAACCCGAUGCAAACUGCGAAUACCGGAGAAUGUUAUCACGGGAGACACACGGCGGGUGCUAACGUCCGUCGUGAAGAGGGAAACAACCCAGACCGCCAGCUAAGGUCCCAAAGUCAUGGUUAAGUGGGAAACGAUGUGGGAAGGCCCAGACAGCCAGGAUGUUGGCUUAGAAGCAGCCAUCAUUUAAAGAAAGCGUAAUAGCUCACUGGUCGAGUCGGCCUGCGCGGAAGAUGUAACGGGGCUAAACCAUGCACCGAAGCUGCGGCAGCGACACUGUGUGUUGUUGGGUAGGGGAGCGUUCUGUAAGCCUGUGAAGGUGUGCUGUGAGGCAUGCUGGAGGUAUCAGAAGUGCGAAUGCUGACAUAAGUAACGAUAAAGCGGGUGAAAAGCCCGCUCGCCGGAAGACCAAGGGUUCCUGUCCAACGUUAAUCGGGGCAGGGUGAGUCGACCCCUAAGGCGAGGCCGAAAGGCGUAGUCGAUGGGAAACAGGUUAAUAUUCCUGUACUUGGUGUUACUGCGAAGGGGGGACGGAGAAGGCUAUGUUGGCCGGGCGACGGUUGUCCCGGUUUAAGCGUGUAGGCUGGUUUUCCAGGCAAAUCCGGAAAAUCAAGGCUGAGGCGUGAUGACGAGGCACUACGGUGCUGAAGCAACAAAUGCCCUGCUUCCAGGAAAAGCCUCUAAGCAUCAGGUAACAUCAAAUCGUACCCCAAACCGACACAGGUGGUCAGGUAGAGAAUACCAAGGCGCUUGAGAGAACUCGGGUGAAGGAACUAGGCAAAAUGGUGCCGUAACUUCGGGAGAAGGCACGCUGAUAUGUAGGUGAAGUCCCUCGCGGAUGGAGCUGAAAUCAGUCGAAGAUACCAGCUGGCUGCAACUGUUUAUUAAAAACACAGCACUGUGCAAACACGAAAGUGGACGUAUACGGUGUGACGCCUGCCCGGUGCCGGAAGGUUAAUUGAUGGGGUCAGCGCAAGCGAAGCUCUUGAUCGAAGCCCCGGUAAACGGCGGCCGUAACUAUAACGGUCCUAAGGUAGCGAAAUUCCUUGUCGGGUAAGUUCCGACCUGCACGAAUGGCGUAAUGAUGGCCAGGCUGUCUCCACCCGAGACUCAGUGAAAUUGAACUCGCUGUGAAGAUGCAGUGUACCCGCGGCAAGACGGAAAGACCCCGUGAACCUUUACUAUAGCUUGACACUGAACAUUGAGCCUUGAUGUGUAGGAUAGGUGGGAGGCUUUGAAGUGUGGACGCCAGUCUGCAUGGAGCCGACCUUGAAAUACCACCCUUUAAUGUUUGAUGUUCUAACGUGGACCCGUGAUCCGGGUUGCGGACAGUGUCUGGUGGGUAGUUUGACUGGGGCGGUCUCCUCCUAAAGAGUAACGGAGGAGCACGAAGGUUGGCUAAUCCUGGUCGGACAUCAGGAGGUUAGUGCAAUGGCAUAAGCCAGCUUGACUGCGAGCGUGACGGCGCGAGCAGGUGCGAAAGCAGGUCAUAGUGAUCCGGUGGUUCUGAAUGGAAGGGCCAUCGCUCAACGGAUAAAAGGUACUCCGGGGAUAACAGGCUGAUACCGCCCAAGAGUUCAUAUCGACGGCGGUGUUUGGCACCUCGAUGUCGGCUCAUCACAUCCUGGGGCUGAAGUAGGUCCCAAGGGUAUGGCUGUUCGCCAUUUAAAGUGGUACGCGAGCUGGGUUUAGAACGUCGUGAGACAGUUCGGUCCCUAUCUGCCGUGGGCGCUGGAGAACUGAGGGGGGCUGCUCCUAGUACGAGAGGACCGGAGUGGACGCAUCACUGGUGUUCGGGUUGUCAUGCCAAUGGCACUGCCCGGUAGCUAAAUGCGGAAGAGAUAAGUGCUGAAAGCAUCUAAGCACGAAACUUGCCCCGAGAUGAGUUCUCCCUCGACCCUUUAAGGGUCCUGAAGGAACGUUGAAGACGACGACGUUGAUAGGCCGGGUGUGUAAGCGCAGCGAUGCGUUGAGCUAACCGGUACUAAUGAACCGUGAGGCUUAACCUU